GAGUUUGAUCAUGGCUCAGGAUGAACGCUGGCGGCGUGCUUAACACAUGCAAGUCGAACGAACCUUCGGGUUAGUGGCGGACGGGUGAGUAACGCGUGAGAAUCUGCCCUCAGGAGGGGGAUAACGGUUGGAAACGACCGCUAAUACCCCAUAUGCCGAUAGGUGAAAUGAAUUUCGCCUGAGGAUGAGCUCGCGUCUGAUUAGCUUGUUGGUGAGGUAAUGGCUCACCAAGGCUUCGAUCAGUAGCUGGUCUGAGAGGAUGAUCAGCCACACUGGGACUGAGACACGGCCCAGACUCCUACGGGAGGCAGCAGUGGGGAAUUUUCCGCAAUGGGCGAAAGCCUGACGGAGCAACGCCGCGUGAGGGACGAAGGCCUCUGGGCUGUAAACCUCUUUUCUCAAGGAAGAAGAUAUGACGGUACUUGAGGAAUAAGCCACGGCUAAUUCCGUGCCAGCAGCCGCGGUAAUACGGGAGUGGCAAGCGUUAUCCGGAAUUAUUGGGCGUAAAGCGUCCGCAGGCGGCCUUUCAAGUCUGCUGUUAAAGCGUGGAGCUUAACUCCAUUAUGGCAGUGGAAACUGAUCGGCUUGAGUAUGGUAGGGGCAGAGGGAAUUCCCGGUGUAGCGGUGAAAUGCGUAGAUAUCGGGAAGAACACCAGUGGCGAAGGCGCUCUGCUGGGCCAUUACUGACGCUCAUGGACGAAAGCCAGGGGAGCGAAAGGGAUUAGAUACCCCUGUAGUCCUGGCUGUAAACGAUGAACACUAGGUGUCGGGGGAAUCGACCCCUUCGGUGUCGUAGCUAACGCGUUAAGUGUUCCGCCUGGGGAGUACGCACGCAAGUGUGAAACUCAAAGGAAUUGACGGGGGCCCGCACAAGCGGUGGAGUAUGUGGUUUAAUUCGAUGCAACGCGAAGAACCUUACCAGGGUUUGACAUCCUGGGAACCUCUUAGAAAUUUGAGGGUGCCUUCGGGAAUUCAGUGACAGGUGGUGCAUGGCUGUCGUCAGCUCGUGUCGUGAGAUGUUGGGUUAAGUCCCGCAACGAGCGCAACCCACGUUUUUAGUUGCCAGCAUUUAGUUGGGCACUCUAGAAAGACCGCCGGUGAUAAACCGGAGGAAGGUGUGGAUGACGUCAAGUCAUCAUGCCCCUUACACCCUGGGCUACACACGUACUACAAUGCUACGGACAAAGGGCAGCAAACUCGCGAGAGCUAGCAAAUCCCAUAAACCGUGGCUCAGUUCAGAUCGUAGGCUGCAACUCGCCUACGUGAAGUAGGAAUCGCUAGUAAUCGCAGGUCAGCAUACUGCGGUGAAUACGUUCCCGGGCCUUGUACACACCGCCCGUCACACCAUGGAAGUUGGCCAUGCCCGAAGUCGUUACUCCAACCCUUGUGGAGGAGGACGCCGAAGGUGGGGCUUUUGACUGGGGUGAAGUCGUAACAAGGUAACC
rnacentral:rRNA from 1 species